GACGAACGCUGGCGGCGUGCCUAAUACAUGCAAGUAGGACGCAGUUGCGAACGGGUGAGUAACGCGUAGGUAACUGCCUAUUAGAGGGGGCUAACUAUUGGAAACGAUAGCUAAUACCGCAUACUAGUAGAUGGACCUGCGUUGUAUUAGCUAGUAGGUAGGGUAAUGGCCUACCUAGGCGACGAUACAUAGCCGACCGGAAAGGGGGAUCGGCCACAUUGGGUCUGAGACACGGCCCAGACUCCUACGGGGGGCAGCAGUAGGGAAUCUUGGGAAAUUGGUGGAACCCUGACCGAGCAACGCCGCGUGAGUGAAGAAGGUGUUCGGAUCGUAAAGCUCUGUUGUUAAGGAAGCGGUACUUAACCAGAAAGCCACGGCUAACUACGUGCCAGCAGCCGCGGUAAUUC
rnacentral:rRNA from 1 species